UACGUAGGGUGCGAGCGUUGUCCGGAAUUAUUGGGCGUAAAGGGCGCGUAGGCGGUCGUGUGCGUCGGAGGUGAAAUCCCCGGGCUUAACCCGGGAGCUGCCUCCGAUACGGCAUGGCUUGAGUCCGGGAGAGGGGAGCAGAAUUCCCAGUGUAGCGGUGAAAUGCGUAGAUAUUGGGAGGAAUACCAGUGGCGAAGGCGGCUCCCUGGACCGGUACUGACGCUGAUGCGCGAAAGCGUGGGUAGCAAACAGG
rnacentral:rRNA from 1 species